AGUCGUAACAAGGUCUCCGUAGGUGAACCUGCGGAGGGAUCAUUACCGAGUGCGGGCCUCCGUGCCCAACCUCCAACCCUUUGUCGAUGACUAUCUGUUGCCUCGGGGGCGGGCACCGGACCCUCGGACUUGCCGGGUAGUCCCCGGAGCACCGGAGUCCCAUCAAACACUGCGUCUUUGCGUCGGAGUAUUGAAUCAAUCAAUUAAA
rnacentral:misc_RNA from 1 species